GAGUUUGAUCGUGGCUCAGGAUGAACGCUGGCGGCGUGCCUAACACAUGCAAGUCGAACGAAGCAAUCGGGAUGAAGUUUUCGGAUGGAUUCCUGGUUGACUGAGUGGCGGACGGGUGAGUAACGCGUGGAUAACCUGCCUCACACUGGGGGAUAACAGUUAGAAAUGGCUGCUAAUACCGCAUAAGCGCACAGUACCGCAUGGUACGGUGUGAAAAACCCAGGUGGUGUGAGAUGGAUCCGCGCCUGAUUAGCCAGUUGGCGGGGUAACGGCCACCAAAGCGACGAUCAGUAGCCGACCUGAGGGGUGACCGGCCACAUUGGGACUGAGACACGGGCCCAAACGUCCUACGGGAGGCAGCAGUGGGGAAUAUUGCACAAUGGGCGAAAGCCUGAUGCAGCGACGCCGCGUGAGUGAAGAAGUAUCUCGGUAUGUAAAGCUCUAUCAGCAGGGAAGAAAAUGACGGUACCUGACUAAGAAGCCCCGGCUAACUACGUGACAGCAGCCGCCGG
rnacentral:rRNA from 1 species